GAGAGAGAGAGAGAGAGAGAGAGAGAGAGAGAGAGAGAGAGAGAGAGAGAGAGAGAGAGAGAGAGAGAGAGAGAGAGAGAGAGAGAGAGAGAGAGAGAGAGAGAGAGAGAGAGAGAGAGAGAGAGAGAGAGGGGAAGAAUCGUUGCUUUUGCAACCCAUAGAAGCAAAGAAGACAAGAGGUAGAAGGUUGUUGAUUUUUCAGAUUUGGUGUUGAUCAAGAAUGUUCUUCCAGACAAGAGGAGAAAAACGGGUUAUAGAUUCAGAACUUUGGCAUGCUUGUGUUGGUCCUCAUAUUUCUUUGCCAACUGAUGGAAGUCGCGUUGUCUACUUUCCAAAAGGUCACAGUGAACAUGUGAGUCAGAUAUGAUGAUAGAACUAGAAGCUCUCUUUCAAACCAUGGUGUGUAUUAAAGUAAUAAUAAUUGGUUCUUUUUUCAUGUA